GUCCUCUCUUCUUGGCUUUGGAGGAGACUUUGUUUGGGUCGGCCUGCAGCAUGCGUCCGUACUCCUCACAGUGCUCUUUAUCCUCCGCCCAGGCGUAUCCCUCCCUCAGAGACCAGUCCACACCCAUCUCCAACGCCUCCUCCAGGAAUGACGCCCUUGGAGCCGACUCCGACAGGGAUGUGGUCGAAGAGAGACUGUGCCAGCUGCUCCUUCACCGGCUGAACGUCGCCCUCAUCCAGGUUUGUGCGCAGCAGACGAACACCACAGUUAAUAUCGAAACCCACACCGCCUGAACACACACACACACACACACACACACACACACGGAUAUUUAAUGAUGAAAUAUCUCAGGAUAACGAACAAGCACAUUAUUAGCACAUACCUGGAGAGACGACUGCGUCCGGAUUCUCCAUGUCGAACGCUGCCAUGUUCCCGAUAGCGAAUCCGUAUCCUGAGUGAACGUCCGGUAAACCGAUCGACCGCUGCAAAAACACUCAGAGUGAGAACUGAGCAUAGGUGCAUGAUGAGCUGAUCAGGACUGUGUGUUUAACUCACGUGCACGAUUCCUGGCAGAGCGGCCACAUUCCCAAUCUGCUUCAUCGCAGGUAAGAAACCUCCAAACCCUGUGCAAACACC
rnacentral:lncRNA from 1 species